rnacentral:lncRNA from 1 species
GCUAAAGGGCAUAGGCAAGGACAAUAGACUUGGAAUUUGGAAGAAUUCAUCUCUGCUGAAGAAUUCCCAGAGCACUCAUGAAAACAGCAGGUUGCCUAACUCACCAGAGAACACUAAACCCAAAGUAAGCCCUCCAUUGGCGCGCAAGCAAGUGAUUAGAGGAGGGUGUCUCAGCUGUGAGGGCAAGAGCCUAGAAUCUCCAUGUGAGGGACCCUGAAAUUAACGUUAACUCAGAGAGUGAUUUCUUCUUGCUUCUAGAAACAGUUUGCUCUGACAGCUAUCUCAUUCGGGAGUGAAACGUAUGUUUUUGGCUGGAACAGUCCAUCUCCUGCCUCUGGAUUUCAGCCGGAAGCUAAGGGAGCUACACAAGUCCAGGGAGUUCUUCAGCUCUGGCAGAGCUGUAAGGACUUUCCUGUGAAGAAAUCACAGAGUAGCAACUGCACAGGUUUCCCCCUGCUCUUUAAAUAAGCCGUCCUCCAUUUUCUGGGAUCGUUCCCAAAUACAAUAUACUAUAAUUGUAUAUCUUUUUUUUCCUGCAAAGGUAAUUCAUUUUAAAAUUCCUUGAAUGCUCCUUAAUUUUAAUAUCUUUUCAAAUACCUUUCUACCAAUAAAUUCAGUCAUUCAUUUAAAAUAUUAUUAUGGGAUUAUGUUUUGUGAUUUUAGCCUGGAAAAUAUGGUCAAUAUACUACUAGUUCAUGACCUUCAUUUGGCCACCCAGUUGUGUCCUGAGAAGCCUCCCUCUGGAGAAACUACUUUAAUUGGUCACCACUGAAUUCAAGUGUGCUAUUGACAUUACUCUUAUCUGAUACAAAGUAAACAUUUUCAGCCCUUGAUUUUCUGUUGUCUCUCUUUAUUUAACU